UCCUGAAGAAUAAGGGCCUAAUAAAUUAAGCCUAUAUUAAAAGAAUGACUCGUGGCAAAGAUACACCAACAACGAAGGAGACAGGGACCAGUAAGGCAAGGAAGGGCAAAACCAAAGCAGAAAGCAACGGAACACACUUUGCUGCAAAGACAUCAUUGCUGCGCAAAAUGAAGAAUAUUAAGAAGUUCGCCAAUUCCACCAGCAAUAAGCAUAUCAGUCUUGUCGCUACCAUAGAGGAUAUGGACAGAUCACAACAUUUUUUCUACACUUAUACUAGGGCGUAUAACAACUCUAUUGUAGCCACAUUACAUCAGUUAAGCCUGAC
rnacentral:lncRNA from 1 species